UUGAACGCUGGCGGCAGGCCUAACACAUGCAAGUCGAGCGGAUGAAGGGAGCUUGCUCCUGGAUUCAGCGGCGGACGGGUGAGUAAUGCCUAGGAAUCUGCCUGGUAGUGGGGGAUAACGUCAGGAAACGGGCGCUAAUACCGGAUACGUCCUGAGGGAGAAAGUGGGGGAUCUUCGGACCUCACGCUAUCAGAUGAGCCUAGGUCGGAUUAGCUAGUUGGUGGGGUAAAGGCCUACCAAGGCGACGAUCCGUAACUGGUCUGAGAGGAUGAUCAGUCACACUGGAACUGAGACACGGUCCACACUCCUACGGGAGGCAGCAGUGGGGAAUAUUGGACAAUGGGCGAAAGCCUGAUCCAGCCAUGCCGCGUGUGUGAAGAAGGUCUUCGGAUUGUAAAGCACUUUAAGUUGGGAGGAAGGGCAGUAAGUUAAUACCUUGCUGUUUUGACGUUACCAACAGAAUAAGCACCGGCUAACUUCGUG
rnacentral:rRNA from 1 species